rnacentral:rRNA from 1 species
AACGCUGGCGGCGUGCCUAAUACAUGCAAGUCGAACGGUCUUUCUAUGGAAGCUUGCUUCCACUGAGAAGAUAGUGGCGAACGGGUGAGUAACACGUGGGUAACCUGCCCAUAAGAGGGGGAUAACAUCCGGAAACGGGUGCUAAUACCGCAUAGUUUUCUUGAUCGCAUGAUUGAGAAAGGAAAGACGGCCUUUGUGCUGUCGCUUAUGGAUGGACCCGCGGCGUAUUAGUUAGUUGGUGAGGUAACGGCUCACCAAGACGAUGAUACGUAGCCGACCUGAGAGGGUGAUCGGCCACAUUGGGACUGAGACACGGCCCAAACUCCUACGGGAGGCAGCAGUAGGGAAUCUUCCGCAAUGGACGAAAGUCUGACGGAGCAACGCCGCGUGAGUGAAGAAAAGGUUUUCGGAUCGUAAAACUCUGUUGUCAGAGAAGAACAAGUCGGAGAGUAACUGCUCCGGCCUUGACGGUAUCUGACCAGAAAGCCACGGCUAACUACGUGCCAGCAGCGGC